UACGGGGGGGGGUAAGCGUUGUUCGGAAUUACUGGGCGUAAAGGGCUCGUAGGCGGCCAACUAAGUCACACGUGAAAUCCCUCAGCUUAACUGGGGAACUGCGUGUGAUACUGGAUGGCUUGGAUCCGGGAGAGGGAUGCGGAAUUCCAGGUGUAGCGGUGAAAUGCGUAGAUAUCUGGAGGAACACCGGUGGCGAAGGCGGCAUCCUGGACCGGUAUUGACGCUGAGGAGCGAAAGCCAGGGGAGCAAA
rnacentral:rRNA from 1 species